GGAAGGCCCCUGUCACAAAGCCUACCUAGAUGGAUAGAGGACCCAAGCGAAAAAGGAGCAGACAUUCAUAUAGGUGAUACUGUAUUUCAGUCCUUUCUUUUGACCCCAGAAGCCCUAGACUGAGAAGAUAAAAUGGUCAGGUUGUUGGGGAAAAAAAAGUGCCAGGCUCUCUAGAGAAAAAUGUGAAGAGAUGCUCCAGGCCAAUGAGAAGAAUUAGACAAGAAAUACACAGAUGUGCCAGACUUCUGAGAAGCACCUGCCAGCAACAGCUUCCUUCUUUGAGCUUAGUUUCUGGCAUCACUACCACUACUGAUUAAACAAGAAUAAGAGAACAUUUUAUCAUCAUCUGCUUUAUUCACAUAAAUGAAGUUGUGAUGAAUAAAUCUGCUUUUAUGCAGACACAAGGAAUUAAGUGGCUUCGUCAUUGUCCUUCUACCUCAAAGAUAAUUUAUUCCAAAAGCUAAGAUAAAUGGAAGACUCUUGAACUUGUGAACUGAUGUGAAAUGCAGAAUCUCUUUUGAGUCUUUGCUGUUUGGAAGAUUGAAAAAUAUUGUUCAGCAUGGGUGACCACCAGAAAGUAAUCUUAAGCCAUCUAGAUGUCACAAUUGAAACAAACUGGGGAGUUGGUUGCUAUUGUAAAAUAAAAUAUACUGUUUUGAAAA
rnacentral:lncRNA from 1 species